rnacentral:rRNA from 1 species
CCUACGGGAGGCAGCAGUGAGGAAUAUUUGUCAAUGGGCUUACGCCUGAACCAGCCAAGUCGCGUGAGGGAAGAAUGCCCUAUGGGUUGUAAACCUCUUUUGUCAGGGAGCAACGCCGGCUACGUGUAGCCGGACUGAGAGUACCUGAAGAAAAAGCAUCGGCUAACUCCGUGCCAGCAGCCGCGGUAAUACGGGGGAUGCGAGCGUUAUCCGGAUUUAUUGGGUUUAAAGGGGGCGUAGGCGGAAUGCAAAGUCAGCGGGAAAAUCGCGGGGCUCAACCUCGCUCAGCCGUUGAAACUGGCGGUCUUGAGUGAGGGAGAAGUAUGCGGAAUGCGUGGUGUAGCGGUGAAAUGCAUAGAUAUCACGAAGAACACCGAUUGCGAAGGCAGCAUACCGGCGCCCAACUGACGCUGAAGCACGAAAGCGUGGGUAUCGAACAGGAUUAGAUACCCGAGUAGUC